CCAAGACAGCCCCAAGUGCUCCUCGCCUCCCGGGCUCCUCGCGCUCUUAGAGGUCUUAGGUCCAUCUGUGAACUCCUCUGGCCACUGUCUGGGUGCUGUAGGGCCCAAGUUCUGUGUGUCCCUGUGGACCUCUCCUCUGUACCUUCCCCUGUCCUCCCCUCUGACCAAGCAGUCAGGCCCUUCUGUCGAAGGUGACCUCAAUGAGUAAACAACCUUCUGAACAGGCUUACCCAAAGCCUCGUGGCUCCUCCAUGUCCCCAGGACCUGGCCUCUCUUCAGUUUGCAGGCUGGCCUGUCUCUGGUUUGCUUCGCUCUGGCACUGCCCUCCCUACACACCGGCUCCUGGCAGCUCCAGGCUUAUUACUUCCGGUUCAAGGCCAGCAGAAAGAAAGCCUGUCUUCCGGACUUCUGAUAACUUCUGCCCACUUCCUAUUUCACUCUGAUUGGAUCAAAUGUCCACUCUGGAACCAAUUUCUGUAUCCAGCGAUAGGCCAGGCCUGAUCAUAUAACCACUCCCGCAACAGUCAUAAAUGUGCAUGCUAUAUAAACAGUCCUGAGGGAGACCAGGUUGUUGAUCGGCCUAGGAUGGGGGUGGAACCCAGCAUGAACUAUGAGGACAGAGGGUGGGUGAGAGAUGGUUCCCUAAAGGGAAUUGGGGGUCUAUUUCUGGAAGAAGAGAGAAUGGACUCUGGCCAGGCAACACCUCAGUCUAUGAAGACUUCCCUGUCCUUCCCAUCUUCUCUUCCAGUUGGACAACCCCACUCCAAGCACCAGGUUGUGUUGUCACAAGGGCUGGUGGUUUGUGCGGCGCCCUGAGUGAGCUUGAAUAAUUCCCAGCCGCCAUGUUCGUCCUCUCUGAGUGAAAGUGUGCAGCUGACUCCUGGGCGCUGGGCAACCAAUGCAUGGCUGGAGCUCCUGGAAUUCAUUUCCAUCUGGUGCACAGAGCUUAUUACAGGCUGUGUAUUAUGAACGUGCUAAUUGGAAGCUUAUAUGUGAUUAAAACUAGAUGGAAUUUAAACUCACCAAAGAUUUUGAAGGGGAGAAUUUUAUCUCCACACAAAAUCUGCAGGUUUUGUUUAGAAUUGCCAAGUGCAUGGUGAUAAUAAAAAGCAGACCGGCUUUGAGGUCUCGUUUUGUUCUUGUUUUUAAUCCGCUCCAGGCCACACACUCGUUCCUGUGCCUGCACCCGGGCUACCACUCCCACGGGCUGUCCUUGGGAUGCCACUGUCCCGGGCCACCACUCUGCGGCCACCCUGUCACACUAUUGCUACUUGACCCGCCACUCAACUUCACCCUUGCUGUUUGGCUUCUGCGCCUGAAACCCCAACCAAACUUUGCUUACAGAUGGCGCCCUCCAUGUUGUUGAUCCGGUGCACACUCUUCUUCCGGUGCCACCCAGCCCUGCAGGCCACAUGCUCUUUCUGGAGAGCUUCCGGGGUACUUUCUACCCACUUCUCUGGCCACUCUGUCUCCAUCUCUGUCACCCUUCAUAAGGUUGAAGUGCUGCUUUCCUCAGGGCUUGGCCCAGUCCCUUCUCCAAUUGAAUCCACUCCCAUGAUUCCCAGCGCACACAGGCAGGCCCCAGGCUACAUGGCCUCUCCACCUAGGUCACCUGCACCCCAAACCAAACAGGGCCUGAGGGGACACUCAUGCAUUCACUUAACAUUCGACAAACUCUUAAGAGUCAGAAAAUGAAAGAGAGAGAGAGAGAAAAUGGUCAUAGAUGGAAACAUGCAGCUCUUCCUCCAAUGUCCCCACCUUGGUAACAUGUCCGGUCACCUGGCUACGUAAGCUGGGCCCCUGGGAGCACCCCCGGGAUACCCUUUUCUGGAAUUUCUAUAUUAAAUCAAUGCUCCUGGGUCCUUUCUUUUUCCUCAAACCAUACCCCAAGUCUGUGUCUUUCCAUUUCUGCUCAAAUCCCCAGUUAUUUCCUGCCUGGCUUAUUUACUGCAACAACCUUCCUCCCGUGGCACAGGCCACCCCCCCUCCACUUCCCAGCCCAGAGGUGCUUCCUGAGAUAUGAGUUUACAGUGAAAUCCUGUGCUUAAAUCCUUUCCCAAUGUGGCUUACGAAAUCCAGCAGGAUCUGGCCCAGGCUGCCUCACCCCCCCAUCUCACUGCACCCCGCCAGUCCGGAGACCCUGGUUGUCAGCGUGUGGGCAGCUCCUGACCCUGUGGCUGCUGCCUUCCUCUCUGUUUCAGAUUCUUCUGGAUUUAGGCCACUGCCUCUUCCUCAGCCAAGUUUUCCCUGACUCACCC
ensembl:lncRNA